GCCUCUAUGGCUUAGUGGUAGAGCGUCGGUCUUGUAAACCGAAGGUCGUGAGUUCAAUUCUCACUGGGGGCA
rnacentral:tRNA from 1 species